GAUGAACGCUGGCGGCGUGCCUAAUACAUGCAAGUCGAGCGAACAGACGAGGAGCUUGCUCCUCUGACGUUAGCGGCGGACGGGUGAGUAACACGUGGAUAACCUACCUAUAAGACUGGGAUAACUUCGGGAAACCGGAGCUAAUACCGGAUAAUAUAUUGAACCGCAUAGUUCAAUAGUGAAAGACGGUUUUGCUGUCACUUAUAGAUGGAUCCGCGCCGCAUUAGCUAGUUGGUAAGGUAACGGCUUACCAAGGCAACGAUGCGUAGCCGACCUGAGAGGGUGAUCGGCCACACUGGAACUGAGACACGGUCCAGACUCCUACGGGAGGCAGCAGUAGGGAAUCUUCCGCAAUGGGCGAAAGCCUGACGGAGCAACGCCGCGUGAGUGAUGAAGGUCUUCGGAUCGUAAAACUCUGUUAUUAGGGAAGAACAAAUGUGUAAGUAACUAUGCACGUCUUGACGGUACCUAAUCAGAAAGCCACGGCUAACUACGUG
rnacentral:rRNA from 1 species